GACGUACCACCCAAACGUUUAUUCGGAAUCACUGGGCUUAAAGAGUCCGUAGGCGGCCAAGAAAGUUGGGUGUGAAAUACCUCAGCUCAACUGAGGAAUUGCGCUCAAAACUACUUGGCUCGAGAAAGACAGAGGUGAGCGGAACUGAUGGUGGAGCGGUGAAAUGCAUUGAUAUCAUCAGGAACACCGGUGGCGAAAGGCGGGCU
rnacentral:rRNA from 1 species